GACGAACGCUGGCGGCGUGCUUAACACAUGCAAGUCGAACGAAGUGGCGAAGGGGUGAGUAACGCGUAAUCAACCUGCCCUUCAGAGGGGGACAACAGGUGGAAACGACUGCUAAUACCGCAUACUGAAGGAGGGGCUUGCGUCGGAUUAGCUAGUGGGAGGGGUAACGGCCACCCAAGGCGAUGAUCAGUAGCCGGACUGAGAGGAUGAACGGCCACAUUGGGACUGGGACACGGCCCAGACGCCUACGGGAGGGAGCAGUGGGGAAUCUUCCGGAAUGGACGGAAGUCUGACGGAGCAACGCCGCGUGAGUGAUGACGGCCUUCGGGUUGUAAAGCUCUGUUAAUCGGGACGCGGUACCGGAAUAGAAAGCCACGGCUAACUACGUGCCAGCAGCCGCGGUAAUAC
rnacentral:rRNA from 1 species